GAGUUUGAUCCUGGCUCAGAUUGAACGCUGGCGGCAUGCCUUACACAUGCAAGUCGAACGGCAGCACGGGAGCUUGCUCCUGGUGGCGAGUGGCGAACGGGUGAGUAAUGCAUCGGAACGUAUCCUGAAGUGGGGGAUAACGUAGCGAAAGUUACGCUAAUACCGCAUAUUCUGUGAGCAGGAAAGCGGGGGACCUUCGGGCCUCGCGCUCUUGGAGCGGCCGAUGUCGGAUUAGCUAGUUGGUGAGGUAAAGGCUCACCAAGGCGACGAUCCGUAGCAGGUCUGAGAGGAUGAUCUGCCACACUGGAACUGAGACACGGUCCAGACUCCUACGGGAGGCAGCAGUGGGGAAUUUUGGACAAUGGGGGCAACCCUGAUCCAGCCAUGCCGCGUGAGUGAAGAAGGCCUCGG
rnacentral:rRNA from 1 species